GUCUACGGCCAUACCACCCUGAACACGCCCGAUCUCGUCUGAUCUCGGAAGCUAAGCAGGGUCGGGCCUGGUUAGUACUUGGAUGGAAGAAUUAGGAUUCAGGAGCUGGGUGAU
rfam:Erinaceus europaeus unplaced genomic scaffold scaffold00250, whole genome shotgun sequence